UUCUUAAUCCACAAAAUGUUUUAAGAUUUAUAAAUAGCUGGAAAAUUGUUUUCGCAUACUUGAAAAGUUUUGAUGAGGUGGCGCUUGCAGUUGGUAGCUCAGACAUCGCCUCCAGAAACAUGGCGGAUGAAUCGACAACGCAUAUCAUGUUUGUAAUUCCUACAGACUUCGGGAAUGGCAAAGAUGUAUGGAAUAUUACGAAAAAAUCUCAAGGAUGCAAACUUAUCAUUAAAAUGCAGCUCAUUGUCUUUGAUGAUCUAUUGGUUCACCGAUAUAUAUGCAGCAAAGCAGUAGUUAGACAGUUUGCUCCUGUAAUCGAGAAAGCAUACGCUCAGAACUGCAAAGGCAAUUAACCAAAAUUUCAGGGCUGAUAAAAGUUUUGGUAUGGACGAUACAAGUUCAUAAUGUCAGGAAUACGAUAUUUCUUGUACAAUAUCUCUUCCUCGCAGUGCAACCUUAUUCAAGCAACUUUACUUUUCGAAGUAUGCCUCUGAUUUGAAUCAACUACAACUUCAACAAAAUAUGGGUGAUGAUCUGAUAAAUUUGAUUUCGUGGCGACUUCUCAUUUAAAAGUAAAAUCUUCACUAAAAAUAUGGAUGACAUUUCUGAAUAAUACAGAUCAUUUUGAAGAAGAUUUAUUUCAAUUCCACCCAGUCAUCAUAUUAAGUUCGAUAAUGAAAAUUGCUGUAUGGUUGGUGAUCUAAAAAUUUCAAGGUCGUGAUUAGAAAAACUCAUUUAUAAACGUCCAUCUCAAAUUUUUCAAACUCGAAGUAAAGAUAACAUUUAUCAGUAAUACAGACCAACAUCAAAGAAGGGUUUAUUUCGAAUUCGAUUAUGAUAAUCACUUUGUCAGAACGAUACAUGCUCAAUAUGAUGUCGAAAUUAUCUUAACCAAAAAUUAUUCAACGAUGAAAUUAACUAUUUAUGUUACAUCAAAGGACUUUGGUGGUUAAGUAUCUGCUAGUCAUCUUGAGGGCUAAACAGUUUCUAUAUUAGAACUUACAACAACUUCCGUUGAUGUCAGAAAAAUUUGCCAGUCAUCUUUAUUCGAAUAUAUUUUUUUAUUUUAGAACUUCCAUGUCAAUGAUGUGGUUAAAAAAACAGAAAUCUGAACGACCUUGUCACACUGGCUUCUAUAUUAGAGAGGUAUGUGAAAAUGCAUAUAUGUAUCAUUAUUUGACAUGUAAUUUUUGUUAUUAAAAUAAAAUUUUUAAUAAAUAUAA